AUGCAAUGAAAGGACUCAUUGUAUGCAGUACUUUGGCUGCCAGGAAAUUCUCAGCUCUGCUCCCUUCCCUAUUAUAGAGGGAUUUAUAGCGCUCUCUCCAGAAAUCUCUGAACAGUUAAAGAUGCAGCCAAAUUAUUAUAACCAUAGAAAAGUCGACAGGGUUCUUCUGAAGGAAGAACUCCCAAAAAUAAUAUAAGAAACUGUUGCAAAUAUGCAUGUGGAGAGUGCAGAAUGCAGGCACUCUGAUUUCUUGGCCUUCAGUCCACCCACAAAGAGUAGGAAAAUAUAUAAGUACAAUUUAAUAACACCAGAUUAGCUAGCUGGAACUAACAGACCAAUUCUAUCCAAAUGGAAACAGUAGAAAGCCAAAUGGUAUAUUAAAUGGAACAGAUGAAAUUACUUUGAAAAGCGGACCACCUAGCCAACUUCUAAAUCAUCUGGGAAAUUGCUAAAAAAUACUAGCUUGCUCUGUCUCUCCCCCUCCCCCCCCCACAAAUUCAAGAUUUACCAUUACCAUCAUAAAUAAACCUUAAGUAAGUUGCCUGGCAAAGAGAGCUUUGUCAUUAAUUGUCAGUGAACGUUGGAAAUAUAAACUCAUAGGUAUUUUUACAAAGUACAUCUUCAACUCAACUCCAGGUAAUAAAAAUCACAUCCUAAGGCUUUAAUCUUUUAAGUACAAAGCUUUCUAUUUUGUUGUACACAGUGCAGGUAGCUGUUCAAUCACUAAAGUAUAGGUAGUCCUCAACUUACAACUGGUCUCUUAGUGACUGUUCAAAGUUCCGACCGAUCUACCUGAGGUAUAUUUAUGAUCCAAAUUUGAAGUUCCAACAGUUGGGUGUCCCUCCAGUCACAAAACCAUAUUUGGGCUCUUGGCAACCAGGCCUAUUUACAGUUGCUUGCAGUAUUUCAUAGCCAUGUGACUGAAUUUUAUGACAGUUUUGCUGAAAACCAUCAUUUACUUCCAGCUUUCAGCAAAACCACAUUCAUAAUAAACCACUGGUUUGCUUAAUGACCACAGAUUUAUUUAACAACCAUGGCAGAAAAGUUAAAAGAAUGAUUUUAUGAUUUCACAAGUUAAACCAUGAUGGGCAGGUUCCAUUAUGAUUCUAAUUCAAUGACUAUCGGUAACACUGAUUUAUCCGCAAAAAUGAAGCCUUGUAGUCUGUUCAUAAUUUCCCUAUCUUAAAAUGAUGCUAUGAUUGCCUUUCUGAUACUGCAUGGAAUUGACAUCCUCUUUUAAAAUAACAAAGGAGGCGAAUUAAAUUGGUUAUGUAUUGAGUUCUGUAAAAAGGAUGGUAGAUCAGAAAAGGAGGAAAAAUGGAAAAUCUACCUUCAAUUAAAAUCUAACCAAUACUUUGAAUGUACAUUAUGGCAUGUUUACCUAAGUCCCCUAGAGUUAACAGGGCUCACUUUCAUUAACAUACAUAUGUAUCUAGAAGAAAGACCUUCUGGAAAAAAAUAAAAGGUUCUAUUUCCAGAAAUUCAUGAAUAGGAUACGGCUGUAUGCAUCAGCUUAGACAACAUCAGUUAGUUUGAAGAGGAAAUUAUUUUGCUUUUGGUCUUUCAUUUCUGGGGGAAGAAAUGAUAUUUUCUGCCUUAUUCGGAUUUCAAAUCAUGUUUUUAAUAUCCAUUAUUUCUAACAACAUUUUAGUUUUUAGGUAGAAAAUAUAAGAAAUGAAGCUUGCAAAAUGGAAGUUAUAUGGCAGAAUAACUAAGGAUAUGUUAAGCCAGACAUUAUUAUUGAAAAGAAUCUUGAAAAUGGGACACAAGAAGUCGCCAUCACAAGGGGUCUAACAAUCACCCAACUGGGCUUUCUCUUCACCUAUCAGGAGCUCCGACUCCAAUAUCCUGGAAGCCAGAGAAAAGACAGUAUGCUUUCAAACUGUUCACUGGCCCUAGAUCCAGAGGAAAGAAUCACUUUGAAACCUUUUAGAAAAUUUGAACAACAAGAUUAAAGAAUGAAGAACA